AGUCGAGGGGUAUACGUUUUCGGAUCUAGAGACCGGCGCACGGGUGCGUAACGCGUAUGCAAUCUACCUUUUACAGAGGGAUAGCCCAGAGAAAUUUGGAUUAAUACCUCAUAGUAUAUCACAAUCGCAUGAUUGAGUUAUUAAAGUCACAACGGUAAAAGAUGAGCAUGCGUCCCAUUAGCUAGUUGGUAAGGUAACGGCUUACCAAGGCUACGAUGGGUAGGGGUCCUGAGAGGGAGAUCCCCCACACUGGUACUGAGACACGGACCAGACUCCUACGGGAGGCAGCAGUGAGGAAUAUUGGACAAUGGGCGCAAGCCUGAUCCAGCCAUGCCGCGUGCAGGAUGACGGUCCUAUGGAUUGUAAACUGCUUUUAUACGAGAAGAAACACUGCUUCGUGAAGCAGCUUGACGGUAUCGUAAGAAUAAGGAUCGGCUAACUCCGUGCCAGCAGCCGCGGUAAUACGGAGGAUCCAAGCGUUAUCCGGAAUCAUUGGGUUUAAAGGGUCCGUANGCGGUUUAAUAAGUCAGUGGUGAAAGCCCAUCGCUCAACGGUGGAACGGCCAUUGAUA
rnacentral:rRNA from 1 species